AGAUCAGCCUCUUCUUGGAGAUACAACUUCUCUUACUGAGUCUUGGCUGCUUCUUCUUCUUAUAGAGUCGCCACCUUCUCUCUUGGAUCAUGUAAGCUUCAACACUCCCCCUCAAGCUUGAGACUCUCACAGGAACAAGCUUGAAUGGAUUGCUUCAUGAUCCUCACACACACACCAUUGCCGCUUCUCUUCUGAUCUUGCCAUCUUCAUGGAAUGCUUGUGGAAGCUUCAGCUAUCUCUCCAAUCACUUCACACUAGAAGCCGACUUGAUAGAGUUGCCUUCAUCUUCUCACAGCCAAGAGUACUC